AGAGUUUGAUCCUGGCUCAGGACGAACGCUGGCGGCGUGCUUAACACAUGCAAGUCGAGCGGAAAGGCCCUUCGGGGUACUCGAGCGGCGAACGGGUGAGUAACACGUGAGUAACCUGCCCUAGGCUUUGGGAUAACCCUCGGAAACGGGGGCUAAUACCGGAUAUGACUUCCUGUCGCAUGGUGGGGAGUGGAAAGUUUUUCGGCCUGGGAUGGACUCGCGGCCUAUCAGCUUGUUGGUGGGGUAAUGGCCUACCAAGGCGACGACGGGUAGCCGGCCUGAGAGGGCGACCGGCCACACUGGGACUGAGACACGGCCCAGACUCCUACGGGAGGCAGCAGUGGGGAAUAUUGCACAAUGGGCGAAAGCCUGAUGCAGCGACGCCGCGUGAGGGAUGACGGCCUUCGGGUUGUAAACCUCUUUCAGCAGGGACGAAGCGUAAGUGACGGUACCUGCAGAAGAAGCGCCGGCCAACUACGUGCCAGCAGCCGCGGUA
rnacentral:rRNA from 1 species